rnacentral:sRNA from 1 species
UGUAUGGCAUUAUCAGUAAAGAAGUUCUGAGUAAACACGUUGACGUUGAAUACCGCUUCUCUGCCGAACCUUAUAUUAGUGCCGCAUGCAGUCAUGUCUCAGUUUUAUCUAUAUGAAAACGCCUGCGGGCGCAGAAAACACUCUAAGGAAUUUUGCAAAUGGCAAAGAUUAAAGGUCAAGUUAAGUGGUUCAACGAGUCUAAAGGUUUUGGUUUCAUUACUCCGGCUGAUGGCAGCAAAGACGUGUUCGUACACUUCUCCGCUAUCCAGGGUAACGGCUUCAAAACUCUGGCUGAAGGCCAGAACGUUGAGUUCGAAAUUCAGGACGGCCAGAAAGGCCCAGCGGCUGUUAACGUAACCGCUA